UUUGCAUUGACAAAAUUCAAUUAGCAUUUAAUAAAUUUACCAUAAACAGAUGAUCUCCGUUUAGUAUUUCUCUAGCCUGACCCGGCGUAGCUGGACCUUUUUUCCUGUGGAUCCUCCGGAUUCGUCAUUCGAUCGAAGCAGCAGAAGAAUGGUAAUGGAUGGCAUUGUGGAGUCAUUGAACAAGGCAUAUCAGGAAUUUAUAACAGCAGCAGCCAUUGUACUAGAGACAAGAGAGACUCAUGGUGACCAAAAAACAGCAGCUGUGAGUUCUGCUAUUGAAAAUUUCCAUCAACAUUUGUUAUUAUUCAAAUCUACUUGUGAUGAAGCAGAAGGAUUUGUUGAUUAUUUGAAGCAUAGUUUAGGGUGCGAUAAAUUUCCGUCUUAUUCUCCAGAACACGUGUCAAUUGAUAGUGACAAUGAUCAGUGUAAUCCUAUUCCUAUCGAGGCUGAUGAUGAGAAAACGAAGACAUCAUAAUAGUACAUCAAAGCCUUAGAAAUUCCAGACAAGACUUUAUAAAAUGCCAUCGGACUAAAGGCAUAUAUAAUGAUCCAUUUUUAGGGUCAUUCUUCUUGGAGUAAACUGAUUUUAGUUAAUUGAACAAUUUGCAUCACUGGUUUGUUUUUGAGGUUUGGAAGUCAUAAUGUCAAAUGAUGUAUUUAAACAUGUGACUUAGAUUGAUAGUUUUUUACUCAUGGUUUUAUUUUAGUACGUUCAAGACA